rnacentral:rRNA from 1 species
UCUGGGAAACUGCCUGAUGGAGGGGGAUAACUACUGGAAACGGUGGCUAAUACCGCAUAACGUCGCAAGACCAAAGAGGGGGACCUUCGGGCCUCUUGCCAUCAGAUGUGCCCAGAUGGGAUUAGCUAGUUGGUGAGGUAACGGCUCACCAAGGCGACGAUCCCUAGCUGGUCUGAGAGGAUGACCAGCCACACUGGAACUGAGACACGGUCCAGACUCCUACGGGAGGCAGCAGUGGGGAAUAUUGCACAAUGGGCGCAAGCCUGAUGCAGCCAUGCCGCGUGUAUGAAGAAGGCCUUCGGGUUGUAAAGUACUUUCAGCGGGGAGGAAGGUGUUGUGGUUAAUAACCGCAGCAAUUGACGUUACCCGCAGAAGAAGCACCGGCUAACUCCGUGCCAGCAGCCGCGGUAAUACGGAGGGUGCAAGCGUUAAUCGGAAUUACUGGGCGUAAAGCGCACGCAG